rnacentral:tRNA from 1 species
AAGGGUAUAGCUCAAGUGGUAGAGCCCAUGCUUAGCAUGCAUGAGGCCCUGGGCUCAAUCCCCAAUACCUCUA